rnacentral:rRNA from 1 species
AGUGAUGGGGUGACGCAGAGUGGUAGCUAGGCUUCCUUAUUGGAUUGGAGUGCAAGCGUGUGGCCUGUGGGGUUGGGAAAUCCGCCCCACGUAUCAGGUGAGGCGUGAUGCGGACACCAUGUUGUGGUGGUAGUUAGUGUGCCUGUGCUGCCUAGAAAAGCCUCUAGCGAGUGCGUGCAUGGCCCGUACCGGAAACCGACACAGGUGGUCAGGUAGAGAAUA